UACGUAGGCAGCGAGCGUUGUUCGGAAUUACUGGGCGUAAAGAGUGUGUAGGCGGCGCUCUAAGUUCGGUGUGAAAUCUCUCGGCUUAACUGGGAGGGUGCGCCGGAAACUGGAGUGCUCGAACGUGGGAGAGGAAAGCGGAAUUCCUGGUGUAGCGGUGAAAUGCGUAGAUAUCAGGAGGAACACCUGCGGUGUAGACGGCUUUCUGGACCAUUGUUGACGCUGAGCUGCGAAAGCUAGGGGAGCAAACAGG
rnacentral:rRNA from 1 species